rfam:Gossypium hirsutum cultivar TM-1 chromosome 8, whole genome shotgun sequence
AACCCAUGGAGAGGGCACCUUCUCAAAAGGUCUUUGUAUCUCUCCCAUGCAUCGUAGAGUGUUUCUAAAUUCAUCUACACAAAAGAAGAAAUAUUAUUAUAUAAUUUGGCU